ensembl:lncRNA
UGGGGUAACUGGGUCUUUCUGAGGCUUGAAUGGGACAUUAAAAAGGCGAUUUUGCCUCAUCGUUCCAGAGCUUCCAUAUCCUCUUUUUGUCAUUUCAUUCAUUACAUGCAGUUUUGUUUUCAAACAUAUUUUACCUUCAACUAAUAAUCCUUCAUUUUAUAUACAGGUAUAUUUUUCAAAAAUUUGUAAAUAAAUGCCAAAUACAGUUAUACAAUGAUGCUCAUAAUGCUGCUUAUGUAUACAUGUAAGUUUAACCAAAUUUUGCACAAGAUUAUACCUGUUAUAAAGUCGCAUUCAUCCACAGGUCGCACAUCUCACAGGUAGGCAUACUGCUUCCCACCCUAGCAGUGAACAACCGCCACAUCCACAAACUAUAGUUCCAUGUUGCACACAGAAUAAGAUAUACAAACAAACCUUUUAGUCUUACGUUGUGAGAAACGUAAUCAUUUAAGUUACCACUAUUUACUUUAUGCGGUGGUCAUAUUACGCACAGCUAUGCAGUACAUUAAGUUUUAAAAGCUACGUGUUUGACAGAGUUCUUGUACCUAUUUCUAGCGUGCAUAUGUACGAAUAGGGACGGCAUUUUUCUCCAAACUCCAAGUUUGUUCUUGGUCACAUAAAAUACACAGCAUUGAAGUGAACGUUUUGUAUAAAUCCGUCUCCCUGUAUUAGCGUGAAUUAUCGGCCUAUAGUGGUGAUUAGCAAUCAGUUGCAACAGUAGGGCUACCGGAUUUCCCCUCUCACAUUUCGGGGGAGCAAUGGCACGUUGGUAAGGGAAGCGUAUCAUACCGCACAGUGCGCCAGCAUCCGGAGAUGCAGUCUACGGUUCUCAUGCUCAGGUGGGCCUGAGAGAAGUGCAACCGAGGUGGCUGGAAGAGCAGCAUCAGCAGGGAGGUCUCUGGUGGGGUGGCGCUGGAUGUAUUCGACAGCUUCAUGGGCCUGAAGGACCAUCUAGAUGAUGGAACAGGCCACAUCCUUGACCUCAGACUGGAUCUGGACUACCUGCACGUAAAGGCUACUGCCACUGUCCGGCCACCCUCUGGAGCGGAUGUCCAUGCCAAUAUGGAGCCUGGCCCGUCGGAAGAGGCCGAGGGCAGGCUACCUGUCAGGACAAGUCUGGACAGCAGCAGCGGCAUUGGAUCCACAUCCGCCGAUUCCGAGGAGAGCACUGACAGCGAGGCUGAGCAGAUCAGCGUCCGACCUGGCUUCCCCGACCUCCCGCCCCGCUCUGCCCAUCCUCAACUCUGCCGUUCCCCCUGUCUGGACCUCGAGUCCACCUCACCUCCAGACGAUUCCGUCCCCGAAAACCAAGACCCCGCGGAAGCCCUCCGCACCUACCGGAACAAGAUGGAGUUUGCAUUGAAGCUUGGCUACCAGGAGGACCUCAUUCGACUGGUGCUUAGCAAACUGGGACCCGAGGCACUUAUUAACGAUAUUCUCGGCGAGCUUGUGAAGCUGGGGAGCAAGUCAGAUGGUGAGCAGGGAGGUGGUCAGGGAUCCUCUCAAUCCAGGUCUUCAUCCAUGGCGCCCUCCUCCUCCUCAUGCUCCUCCGCUGGAUCUACAACGUCUUCCUCAGGGUGUGGGUUCUCAGACUCCACAGAGUCCCGUCAGUCAGAUUCUCCCUCACAGAUGGACACUCUGGACGACAAGGACAAUCUGAGGCCCGUUGUGAUUGACGGCAGUAACGUCGCCAUGAGCCAUGGCAACAAGGAGGUCUUCUCAUGCCAAGGCAUGCAGCUUGCAGUUGAUUGGUUCCUGGAGCGAGGGCACCGUGACAUCACUGUGUUUGUACCUGCCUGGAGGAAGGAGCAGUCGCGCCCAGAUGCUCUUAUCUCAGACCAGGAUUUCCUACGGCGGCUGGAGAAGGACAAAAUCCUCGUGUUCACUCCGUCACGGCGGGUGCAGGGAAGGAGGGUGGUCUGCUACGAUGACCGUUUCAUCGUCAAGUUGGCCUACGAGUCUGACGGCAUCAUAGUCUCCAACGACAACUACCGGGACUUGGCCAAUGAGAAGCCAGAGUGGAAGAAGUUUAUCGACGAGCGAUUGCUAAUGUAUUCAUUCGUCAAUGACAAGUUCAUGCCUCCUGAUGAUCCUUUGGGUCGACACGGCCCCAGUUUGGAGAACUUUCUGCGGAAGCGACCAAUCAUCCCAGAACACAAGAAGCAGCCCUGCCCUUAUGGUGAGUCCUGCUCUCCCAGUGGCCUUAUGCUGGUUUAGGUCCAUCCUCAAAAUCUAUAUGGGACCCAUAUUCCCUCAUUUUGCCUCCUGAGACACACAAUCUCUAGUGUGUUUUUGGUAUUCCCAUUAGUUCUCUGUCCUGAGGGUCUCUUGCCCUCUAUAUCAAGUAGAUAGCAAGUAUCAAACUUUGAUUUGCAUAUUUCAUAUGUGCAUCUUUAACAUAGGAAAACCCUUGGCAUAGUGGCCUUAGAUGUUUUGCAUGUUAUAGACUGGAAAUACAUG